GACGAACGCUGGCGGCGUGCUUAACACAUGCAAGUCGAACGGAAAGGCCCUGCUUUUGUGGGGUGCUCGAGUGGCGAACAGGUGAGUAACACGUGAGUAACCUGCCCUUGACUUUGGGAUAACUUCAGGAAACUGAGGCUAAUACCGGAUAGGAGCUCCUGCUGCAUGGUGGGGGUUGGAAAGUUUCGGCGGUUGGGGAUGGACUCGCGGCUUAUCAGCUUGUUGGUGGGGUAGUGGCUUACCAAGGCUUUGACGGGUAGCCGGCCUGAGAGGGUGACCGGCCACAUUGGGACUGAGAUACGGCCCAGACUCCUACGGGAGGCAGCAGUGGGGAAUAUUGCACAAUGGGCGGAAGCCUGAUGCAGCAACGCCGCGUGCGGGAUGACGGCCUUCGGGUUGUAAACCGCUUUCGCCUGUGACGAAGCGUGAGUGGCGGUAAUGGGUAAAGAAGCACCGGCUAACUACGUG
rnacentral:rRNA from 1 species